CCAAGUUCUCCAGGCCCCUGACCAGGCCCCUGACACGGCCUAUAUCAAUGCAUUGGAAUCAUGGUAGACAGGAUGUCCUGGGCGCUAAUAAAUAGCGCCCACUGUCAAAUGCGAAAACAUCAACAAUUUUUGUUUAACGUUUAUUUUGGUUUGUUGAUCAGUUUUUGGAAUAAUUUUUUCCACCUGUUAUGAUCACAAAACACUUCAAACUCGCUUUGAUAUUAAUGUACGGUAAGAGGAGCAUGCGAUUAGUUGAAUAAAGCAGCCCAACAAACACGCAUUGUGAAUGUGAUUUCAUAUGUGGCUCACAACAUCAAACAAAAGCUGCGUUUGUUGAUUACACGCUCGUUUAAAUUUGCACGAAUAUGAGUAUAAGGCAGUUAGAUGUUGGCUACGAUAUAUUUCAUUGAUGCCAGGGGCCUGCCCCUGACACGGCCUAUAUCAAUGCAUUGGAAUCAUGGUAGACAGGAUGUCCUGGGCGCUAAUAAAUAGCGCCCACUGUCAAAUGCGAAAACAUCAACAAUUUUUGUUUAACGUUUAUUUUGGUUUGUUGAUCAGUUUUUGGAAUAAUUUUUUCCACCUGUUAUGAUCACAAAACACUUCAAACUCGCUUUGAUAUUAAUGUACGGUAAGAGGAGCAUGCGAUUAGUUGAAUAAAGCAGCCCAACAAACACGCAUUGUGAAUGUGAUUUCAUAUGUGGCUCACAACAUCAAACAAAAGCUGCGUUUGUUGAUUACACGCUCGUUUAAAUUUGCACGAAUAUGAGUAUAAGGCAGUUAGAUGUUGGCUACGAUAUAUUUCAUUGAUGCCAGGGGCCUGAAGUUCUCACCAUAGUCUGCUCUGCUGCGGGAAUCGUUUUAAGUUUUUUUUGCCGAUUGCAGUUUCAGAAAAAAAUCCAUGAAUGUUGCCGUGAAUCCGAAAUCGUUCGUUGGGUAAUGCCGGGAAAUGCUCCUCCGAAGAGCACCAACUGCGGCAUUCAGAAGAUGAUCCCAGUGGCCGAAAAGGAGCAGAUCAUGGAGCGCGCUGUGAUCGCCCGGAAGAUUGAAAAAACUUCGAUGAGGACGAGGACAUGACGCUAUGAAACUGAGGAAGGCGUUGGCGCUGAAGGACGUGGCAAUCAAGAUCCGGAACAUUUGGAUCCGAUGAUGGCCAAGCGCACGGAGCUGAAGAAGAACAUGGAUACGGAUUCAAGAACAUACUGACGUAUAUAUUCAGGUCGGGUACGUCGGAACUCGGAUCGAAAUUGUAGUUUAGUUAUUACAUUUCAAUAAAGAAAACUACUUCCAA